rnacentral:rRNA from 1 species
AGAGCGAACGCUGGCGGCAGGCUUAACACAUGCAAGUCGAGCGGGCGUAGCAAUACGUCAGCGGCAGACGGGUGAGUAACGCGUGGGAACGUACCUUUUGGUUCGGAACAACACAGGGAAACUUGUGCUAAUACCGGAUAAGCCCUUACGGGGAAAGAUUUAUCGCCAAAAGAUCGGCCCGCGUCUGAUUAGCUAGUUGGUGAGGUAACGGCUCACCAAGGCGACGAUCAGUAGCUGGUCUGAGAGGAUGAUCAGCCACAUUGGGACUGAGACACGGCCCAAACUCCUACGGGAGGCAGCAGUGGGGAAUAUUGGACAAUGGGCGCAAGCCUGAUCCAGCCAUGCCGCGUGAGUGAUGAAGGCCCUAGGGUUGUAAAGUCUCUUUUGUGCGGGAAGAUAAUGACGGUACCGCAAGAAUAACGCCCGGCUAACUUCGUGCCAGCAGCCGC